AAAUUGAAGAGUUUGAUCAUGGCUCAGAUUGAACGCUGGCGGCAGGCCUAACACAUGCAAGUCGAACGGUAACAGGAAACAGCUUGCUGUUUCGCUGACGAGUGGCGGACGGGUGAGUAAUGUCUGGGAAACUGCCUGAUGGAGGGGGAUAACUACUGGAAACGGUAGCUAAUACCGCAUAAUGUCGCAAGACUAAAGA
rnacentral:rRNA from 1 species